CCUACGGGUGGCAGCAGUGAGGAAUAUUGGUCAAUGGACGAGAGUCUGAACCAGCCAAGUAGCGUGAAGGAUGACUGCCCUCUGGGCUGUAAACUUCUUUUAUAUGGGAAUAAAAUGUUCCACGUGAGGGAUUUUGUAUGUACCAUAUGAAUAAGGAUCGGCUAACUCCGGUCCAGCCGCCGCGGUAAUACGGAGGGUCCGAGCGUUACCCGGAUUUAUUGGGUUUAAAGGGAGCGUAGGGGGAUUGUUAAGUCAGUUGUGAAAGUUUGCGGCUCAACCGUAAAAUUGCAGUUGAAACUGGCAGUCUUGAGUACAGUAGAGGUGAGCGGAAUUCGUGGUGUAGCGGUGAAAUGCGUAGAUAUCACGAAGAACUCCGAUUGCGAAGGCAGCUCACUGGACUGCAACUGACACUGAGGCUCGAAAGUGUGGGUAUCAAACAGGAUUAGAUACCCCUGUAGUC
rnacentral:rRNA from 1 species